rnacentral:rRNA from 1 species
AUUGAACGCUGGCGGCAGGCCUAACACAUGCAAGUCGAAUGGUAACAGGAAACAGCUUGCUGUUUCGCUGACGAGUGGCGGACGGGUGAGUAAUGUCUGGGAAACUGCCUGAUGGAGGGGGAUAACUACUGGAAACGGUAGCUAAUACCGCAUAACGUCGCAAGACCAAAGAGGGGGACCUUCGGGCCUCUUGCCAUCAGAUGUGCCCAGAUGGGAUUAGCUAGUAGGUGGGGUAACGGCUCACCUAGGCGACGAUCCCUAGCUGGUCUGAGAGGAUGACCAGCCACACUGGAACUGAGACACGGUCCAGACUCCUACGGGAGGCAGCAGUGGGGAAUAUUGGACAAUGGGCGCAAGCCUGAUGCAGCCAUGCCGCGUGGAUGAAGAAGGCCUUCGGGUUGUAAAGUACUUUCAGCGGGGAGGAAGGGAGUAAAGUUAAUACCUUGGCUCAUUGACGUUACCCGCAGAAGAAGCACCGGCUAACUCCGUG